ensembl:miRNA mir-1821 ncRNA
AUAUGUAGUUGGUACAAGUUUGCCCAACUUGCAGACUUUUCAAUUUUCGGCAAGUGGAAUUGAGGUCUUAUAGUUAGGUAGACAUUUACUACAACUAAUAUAUA